AUGUAAAAGAAGAAGGUUGUAACAUGCAUGAGAUAUGGUGACAGAAGGGCAA
rnacentral:sRNA from 1 species